rnacentral:rRNA from 1 species
GAGGAGCAUUGCAUGCGGGAAGAAGCAGUACCGAAAGGAGCUGUGGACUGCAUGGAAGAGAGAAUGCCGGAAUGAGUAGCGAGAUAGAGGUGGGAAUCCUCUAGGCCGAAUAUCCAAGGUUUCCAGAGUAAAGCUGAUCUGCUCUGGGUAAGUCGGGGCCUAAGGCGAGGACGAGAGUCGUAGCCGAUGGACAACAGGUGGAGAUUCCUGUACUGCGGUAUGACAGAACUGUGGGGACACGUAAGGAAAGCGGAAGCCGGGAAUGGAAAGCCCGGUGCAAGCGGGGUACCAGUCACUUUGGCAAAUCCGGGUGGCAAUGGGAAGCCGUGAUGCGGAGCGAAAUAAAGUAGUGAAGUCCGUGAGCCAUGCGUCAAGAAAAGCCGCUAUUGUUUAUACCGUACCCGUACCGUAAACCGACACAGGUGGAUGAGGAGAGAAUCCUAAGGCCGGCGGAAGAAGCAUUGUCAAGGAACUCGGCAAAAUGGCCCCGUAACUUAGGGAUAAGGGGUGCCUGGGAAACCAGGCCGCAGAGAAUAGGCUCAAGCAACUGUUUUAGCGAAAACACAGGUCUAUGCGAAACCGAAAGGUGAGGUAUAUGGGCUGACGCCUGCCCGGUGCUGGAAGGUUAAGAGGAGAGGUUAGCGCAAGCGAAGCUUUGAAUUUAAGCCCCAGUAAACGGCGGCCGUAACGAUAACGGUCCUAAGGUAGCGAAAUUCCUUGUCGGGUAAGUUCCGACCCGCACGAAAGGCGUAAUGAUUUGAGCGCUGUCUCGACAAUGCAUCCGGUGAAAUUGAAGUACCAGUGAAGAUGCUGGUUACCUGCGCCAGGACGGAAAGACCCCAUGGAGCUUUACUCCAGUCUGGUACUGGGACUCGGUAUUGCAUGUACAGGAUAGGUGGGAGGCUAGGAGAUGGUAACGCCAGUUGCCAUGGAGCCGCUGUUGGGAUACCACCCUUGCAGUAUUGGGUUUCUAACCAGCCGCCGUGACCCGACGGUGGGACAAUGCCAGACGGGGAGUUUGACUGGGGCGGUCGCCUCCGAAAGGGUAUCGGAGGCGCCCAAAGGUUCCCUCAGAAUGGACGGAAACCAUUCGAAGAGUGCAAAGGCAGAAGGGAGCUUGACUGCGACACCGACGGGUGGAGCAGGUACGAAAGUAGGGCUUAGUGAUCCGGUGGUAUUAAGUGGGAAUGCCAUCGCUCAACGGAUAAAAGCUACCCUGGGAUAACAGGCUUAUCACUCCCAAGAGUUCACAUCGACGGAGUGGUUUGGCACCUCGAUGUCGGCUCAUCGCAUCCUGGGGCUGUAGUAGGUCCCAAGGGUUGGGCUGUUCGCCCAUUAAAGCGGUACGCGAGCUGGGUUCAGAACGUCGUGAGACAGUUCGGUCCCUAUCCGGCGUGGGCGUAGGAUAUCUGAGAGGAGCUGUCCUUAGUACGAGAGGACCGGGAUGGACGGGCCGCUGGUGCAUCGGUUAGACUGCCAAGUCUACGGCCGAGUAGCCUAGCCCGGAAGGGAUAAACGCUGAAGGCAUCUAAGCGUGAAGCCCCCCUUAAGAUGAGAUAUCCCAUUCGUUAAGAAGUAAACCCCCUUGAAGACGACGAGGUAGAUAGGGCAGAGGUGGAAGUGCAGCAAUGCAUGGAGCUGACUGUUACUAAUCGGGUGAGGGCUUGACU